AUAUGACUAAGGAAUGGAAACAGUUAUUUUUAUGGAGGUAAAAGAAUAAGGACAUAUGGCACACGAUGACAGUUGUUGGAAAGACAGACUGACUUUAAAGAGUCCUAAGAUAAAGCAUGUGAUAAUCCCUGUGUCUGGCACAUGGCUCCAUAACACCAGGGGCUGGCUGCUCUGUCCAUUGUCAUCAUCAUCUCUAGAGUUGUGCCCAGCCUGAGGACGUGAAGAUGCUCAACAAAGAGUUGCUGAAGGAAAGAAUGAAUGACUGUCAGCGGGGAUGACACAAUGGGAGGCUGUGAUCCACUUUGCCCUUCACUUUUGAAAAGUUCUCCCUAGAAAGUGUAAAACUGUUUACAAGCCAAGCAUUCAGGACAAGUCUUACCCUAUCAACAUAGAAGCAGGA